AGUAAUGUCGUCCGAGCAAGAACAGAAGUGUAUAAAGAAAGUAAAAUGCAAUUUAUGCAUAUGUACCAUUAUAAAAAGUAAAUAAUGUUCUAAAAAUCGAUUAGAUAGAUCAGUGGCGUUGGGAGAUGCUCGGGGUGGCGGGCAAACUUCUUACUGUGCACGACCUUCGUAUUCUUGCCUCCUCAGUAUCUUUUUAGAGGGGUGACUGUCCCCUUGCCUACCUUCCCUCCGGUUCCUACGCCACUGUAGAUAGGUAGAAUUCAAUACACUCCUGCACCCAUUUGACCUUUCACCCUACAGUUAAAGUCCGCUCAAACAAAGCACCCCCCCCCCACACACACACACACUUUUAAGAGCACCACUGAUCCUUGGCAAGCACAAUUGAAGCCCUCGAUCUCUGAGUUUGCACGUCUCCCGGUCAGCGUAUAGCGCGUUGUCAGCCCUGUACUCGUGCAUGUCUGUCACCAACCCUGUUUAACUCUACAGGAUUCUCCGCCUAUUUACUUCAGGUGGUCCUCGAGAGAUAUCGCGCUCUGAUAGACGACAUCAGGGUGUGCACGCGUGCCUAUUGUCAACCGGCGUCACCCGGCGUUUCGCGAGACUGCACGUGAAAAUGUAUCUACCUUACCUUUUUGCGAAAGGUCGCACCAGGGUCAGAGUACAUGUAGCGCCUGUAAAGACCACUGCAUGAAUAUCGAACGCUUCUCUCUCCCCUCCCUUGAUCGCCCCAACCGCCAUGCAGUAGUGAUCGAGAAAGGCAAGAGACGACGAUCAUUCAUUCAGGGAUCAAUUAAAAGGCAACGGGGUGAACCUUAAGUGAGGGGAGACGUGUCUGAAGAACGAGACUUCAUAAAACUCAAGACAAUGGUCACGAUAUAGACAUUUUCUUUCUUAUAGGAAGCCAAAAUAUACUAAAGUAGACAUUCAAUCAUCGUGUACAAGAAAUAAGAAAAUGUGAAUCAAAGCAACAUCGGAAUCCAUCGAAGGAUCUUAUUUGGGGAAAAGGUUUUGUCUACAGGUGCCUCAUGGACACCAAGAUGACGAAGAUAGCUUUCUAACCCACAUACACACAAAACAUUUUUCCUGACGAAGACAUCAGGGAGCCUGCAAUCAUUGUGACUCAAAGAUGAUUACACAAAUGCUCGAUAUACUAAAUGAUCUAUUCUGCAUAACAAGUUGUGUAUCUAGUUUCACAUUUUGGUUGUCAUCCACAACAUCUCAGCAAGAAGGACUCACUAUACAUUCAGGUUAAAGGUCAAAUUAUAGGUUCUUCCCCCUUCGUUGUGGUUAAGUGCUCGAUGAAGAUGCCAACGACAGCUUCUCGCAACAGCUUUCCUUGGAAACCCGGCGAACAGGUGUCGCUCCCGAUCGGAGAGGAAUUUCUGACUUGCGAUGACCACAACUUGCCGGCUAGAGUGACCAGUGACGUCACAGCCAUGCCAGGCACGAGGGAGAAGACAGACACACAGACGGCGAGAGUGCUAAAAGGCAAAGAAUUCGCCUUCAUACUGGACUCGAACCGGCUCCACCGGUUCCCGAUCUUGGGGCCCACCCGUCAGGACACGGAGCUGUACUUCAGAUUGCGUCGACAAAAGGAGAGGAUGCUGGUGACAAGGUCAGCAGAGCAUGUCAACCGCCGGGACUCGACCUUUCACAGCAGGUCAGCGGUGAAAGUCAACAUUUUCUCCAGAAGGGCUCACCAGUCCAUCGGUGACGUCGACAACAAGACAGCGUUCAGCACCACCACCACUAACACCAGGUGGAGAGGAGAUGAAAGGAGUGUCAGCGGCACUCGGAACUCUAGCGCCCCCACGAAGACCUCCUUGAUGCAGAAACGAUGUUCGAUUCCAGCCUCUCCUCGGACAGCGAAAUCGCACAUCGGGACGUCAGAGGCGCCACGUAAGCCCUCGUUCGAUUUUCCUCAAAUAGGAAGUUCUGACGUCACACAUGCUUUUCAGUCCCACCUCUCUUCUCAUCAACAUCGUCACCUCAAGAUGGCGGCCAAUGAUGAGACGCAGGCUGUAGUGCGAAGACCUUGACUCCGUCCAAGUACGGGUUUCACCCGCGAAGCCACUCUCCGACCUUUCAAAGAUUGGUGGCUGUCGCGGACAAAUUGCAAAUCGUGUCAGGAGCCUGCGACAGCAGCAGCGGUUGUCUCCUACCACACCACAGGGGGCGCUGCCAUGACUCUGGCGCGACAGUAGUCCGGCUUCCUGAUGUUACCGUAUGGUCACGUGACUCAGCGGAAGCGAGCUGUUGCGAUGUGGAUGACGCACAAAGCAUGAAGGAUGACAAAAAUGUCAAAGGAAUUGAAACUAUCAGCGACUUAACGAAUGUUCACUUGUCCUCGAUUAAGAGGCCGGACCACAAACACAUUAGCGACGACGAAAAGCUCACAGCCUGCUGUCUUGGUCCUCCUUCGAGUUCCUGCCACGGUGAGUCAGAAGGCGAAAGGUCGCAAGGCUUGCAUUCUCCUAAUGGUUUAUUGGAGGAGUUUCUGGAUAGAGAAGCCAAGCAGCAAAGGGAAGAAACCUUUGCAGACUUCGAUGAAUACCGAUUGAGGAAGCGAGAGGAUCCCUCGCCGAUGACAGUCUGGGUUAGCCCUUCAGCAGACGUCACCACCCGUGAUGCAUCUGUUCAACACAUUUUCCCUCGACUAACCGAGACCAGGGUGCCAGUCAAAAAAACUGUUACGUUCUCAACGGUCUCAACAAGCCACGAAGCACCCGCAUCAGUGGAGCAGAUGGCUCUUCCUCCAGGGAUGAUGGCGCAAGCAAGACAAUGCCGCCCUUGCACUUCUCGAAAAGAUUACGAGUGCCAGAUAGCCCUGGAUGUCCAGAGCACCACUUCGCUGGCCGCAGCACUGGUCGGCAGUCACACACCACUGCACACUGGUCUCAUCGGCACGGCCAGCUUCCACAGAACGGCCACCAGGGGGCAGCAGCCGAGCGGAACUCAAAGUUCCACAGGGGGGCGAGAUUUGACUCUCCCAAGGGGGCCACGAAAAAGCGGCUUCACACCUCUUCCCUUUCCGGAGAGCCUGUUGAAGCCAUUUUUGAAAGGGGAACUGCUUAAAGAAAGGCUUGAGGAUGUUCAGACUCUGAUUUCCCAAGAUCACGAGUGAAUCGCUAUUUAUCACUCCUUUCUCUAUUGACUGAGCUCAGUCUAUGUGAUCCACAAUGUUAAGAAAUCUUUGUACUAAGUGCGAUAUGCAAACACUCUGAUGUGUUUAAUGUGUGUGCAUCCUUAUAUAUAUAUAUAAAAUAAUGUGAUCCUAUAUACAAUACAAAACGUCGUUAUUGUCUACAUUUGUUUAAAAAAAGAUUCUUUUAUUGGAAGCUCUCAUAAGCAAUAAGCUAAACAAAAUAAAGUCACAUCCCACACACCCAUACAAAUACUGCACUCAUGAUGAGAAGGGAUGUAAGUAUAUUACAUGUUAUUAAAAGCUUUGUCAACUGUUACACAUUUGUACAAAUAUGUAUAGUUGUAGUAGAACUGUUUACUUGA